rnacentral:rRNA from 1 species
GAUGAACGCUGACAGAAUGCUUAACACAUGCAAGUCAACUUGAAUUUGGGUUUUUAACUUAGGUUUGGGUGGCGGACGGGUGAGUAACGCGUAAAGAACUUGCCUCACAGCUAGGGACAACAUUUGGAAACGAAUGCUAAUACCUAAUAUUAUGAUAAUAGGGCAUCCUAUAAUUAUGAAAGCUAUAAGCGCUGUGAGAGAGCUUUGCGUCCCAUUAGCUAGUUGGAGAGGUAACGGCUCACCAAGGCGAUGAUGGGUAGCCGGCCUGAGAGGGUGAUCGGCCACGAGGGGACUGAGACACGGCCCUUACUCCUACGGGAGGCAGCAGUGGGGAAUAUUGGACAAUGGACCGAGAGUCUGAUCCAGCAAUUCUGUGUGCACGAUGAAGUUUUUCGGAAUGUAAAGUGCUUUCAGUUGGGAAGAAACAAAUGACGGUACCAACAGAAGAAGUGACGGCUAAAUACGUG